rnacentral:rRNA from 1 species
UGGGGAAUUUUGGACAAUGGACGCAAGUCUGAUCCAGCCAUGCCGCGUGCGGGAAGAAGGCCUUCGGGUUGUAAACCGCUUUUGUCAGGGAAGAAACGCUCUGGGCUAAUACCCUGGGGUGAUGACGGUACCUGAAGAAUAAGCACCGGCUAACUACGUGCCAGCAGCCGCGGUAAUACGUAGGGUGCAAGCGUUAAUCGGAAUUACUGGGCGUAAAGCGUGCGCAGGCGGUUAUGCAAGACAGAGGUGAAAUCCCCGGGCUCAACCUGGGAACUGCCUUUGUGACUGCAUAGCUAGAGUACGGUAGAGGGGGAUGGAAUUCCGCGUGUAGCAGUGAAAUGCGUAGAUAUGCGGAGGAACACCGAUGGCGAAGGCAAUCCCCUGGACCUGUACUGACGCUCAUGCACGAAAGCGUGGGGAGCAAACA